rnacentral:lncRNA from 1 species
CUUUGUUUUUAUAAAUUUUUUAUUUUUUAUUUACAUAUAAUGUAUUAUUAGCCCUAAGGGUACAGGUCUGUGAAUCACCAGGUUUACAGACUUCGUAGCACAUACUGUCCCCAAUGUCCAUAACCACCCCACCUCCCCCCGGCAACCCUCAGUUUGUUUUGUGAGAUUAAGAGUCUUUUAUGGUUUGUCUCCCUCCCGAUCCCAUCUUGUUUCAUUUAUUUCUUUCCUACCUCCCAAACCCCUCAUGUUGCCUCUCAACUUCCUCAUAUCAGGGAGAUCAUAUGAUAAUUGUCUUUCUCUGAUUGACUUAUUUCGCUAAGCGUAAUACCCUCUAGUUCCAUCCAUGUCGUUGCAAAUGGCAAGAUUUCAUUCCUUUUGAUGGCUGUAUAGUAUUCCAUUGUGUAUAUAUACCACAUCUUCUUUUAUCCAUUCAUCUGUUGAUGGACAUCUAGGUUCUUUCCAUAGUUUGGCUAUUGUGGACAUUGCUGCUAUAAACAUUUGGGUGCAUGUGCCCCUUCGGAUCGCUACGUUUGUAUGUUUAGAGUAAAUACCCAGUAGUGCAAUUGCUGGGUUGUAGGGUAGCUCUAUUUUCAACUUUUUGAGGACCCUCCAUGCUGUUUUCCAGAAUGGCUACACCAGCUUGCCUUCCCACCAGCAGUGUAGGAGGGUUCCCCUUUCUCCGCAUCCUCACCAGCUAAAAGAUUACACUUUGAACAAACAAGUGAGCCCAACUGAAGAACUGUCCUGUCAGUACUUAAAAGGGCCUUGGAGGAAGGAAGUGACUGUUGUAGCACAGAAGGUGUAGAACCAGAAAAUGUGGAAAUACGUGAAGAUCCCUAGGACCAGGAAGGAAAGUCCAGCCCGAGCCAGAAUUACUCACUUAGCUCUCCUGUUGAGGGCUGACCGGCAGCUCUCUGGUGCGAGAGACUCGUUGCAGACGUGCUGGAGAGAGACUUGCUGGACACUCGCUCUGGGACCUGCUGCCUCUGUGUGUUGGGCGCAUAUGUACCUGCUGAGUAGAGAGAACACAUUCUGGAGAUUAGUGACAGUCUCUGCAAGCAAGUCCUUCUGGCUCCUUCCCAGAACACUGAGAUCUACUCCGUGUGUGCCAUGGCUGAAGACCCAGAGGGAGGGGACAAUAUCCCUGUAUUUCCACAGGGUAAGUUUGGGGUGCUAUGGUUUGAAUGCUUCAGUCCCUCUCCCUGUCCCAAAUCCAGAUGUUGAAAUC